rnacentral:tRNA from 1 species
UAUUAUUAAGUGAAAGGAUCACAUAAAUUUUUGAAAUUUAUUAAUAAGUUCAAUUCUUAUAAUAAUAA